UGCCUUGACUCAAUGUGUUUUUUAAGAGUUUGGCAUUUCUGACUUGCUGCAGUCACUGCCAAGGCUUGUGGCAUAGCAGGACACUCAGCAAAUGCUGGUCCCAGCCUCCCCCAUGCCUGUUUGCAAGGACUGUGCUCACCCACACAGAGGAUGUUGAAGCUGAAGCCUUGUGUGACAGACUUGCUGACCAGCUGAUCCGGGAGGCUGUCGAAGCCCACAUGGCCCCCCAGGGAAAGGUUCCUCUUCUCUUCAUUCUGCCAGGGAGAAGAAGCCAGAUUAGCAAACUGCACUGAGAUGGCAAAUGAGGCUGAUGAGAGCAAGAUCACCCACCCUCCUGGGCACUGCAAAGCCCAGCGGUGCCCUCAAGCGCUUGUGCUUGGCACACCACAGCACAAACCCCCCAACAGCCACCAACAACAGGAAAGAGGGUGUGAAAUACUGAUCUUCUGGCGGGCUGGGAGAACCAGGCUACCAGGCUCCAAAGUAAAGAAAACACUAGUGUGAGCUUCAACUACUGCAGCUGGGAGAGAUUAGUGAAGGAAAACCUACCACGGUGCGUUUUAGCACUCAUUUCUCUUCGACUUUUUUUUUGUACUUUAUUGUCUCAAACCCUCCAGCAGUGAAUUCAGCUUGACAGACUGUGCAUUUUCCCUGAGCACUUGUCUUUGCCCCUUUGCUGUGGCCACAAGCAGCGAGGUUUGCUCGCUCAGGCACUGGGUGUGCCAGUGGCUCGGGCAGGGCAGGGAACCCUCCUGCUUCACCAUCUGUGACCACACAGUUUCCACUGUUCCUCUGCUGUUCCUGUUCCUGCCUCCCCCGUGUGCACUUUGCUCUCCCUUCUGUUCCCUCCCUCCCCCACGGAAGCGGAUCACCUGUAGAGGUUUUGCUCAGGAACUAAGACAACAAAAUCCGAGAGACAGCAGCUCUACGACCUGUGCUGUACAGAAAGCACAUACAGAAGAUGGGAAUGGAAAAAAAAUGUCUGCCCUUGGUUUGGCUCUGGUUCUUCUGUCUGUUCCUGACAACUGGAAUUUAAUGUCCCACCACUAAGACUGAGAGACAAGGGCAUCCCCGAGAAGAGCCUAAGCUGCCUGUCAAACUUAAAUGAAGUCAAGAGGAAAAUAAAUGAUGUGAUAAGCCUUGUGUA